rnacentral:rRNA from 1 species
CAUGUAGGCGGUUUGAUAAAUUAGAAGUGAAAUGCCUGGGCUUAACCCGGGAAUUGCUUUUAAGACUGCCAGACUUGAAUCCGUGAGAGGACAGUGGAAUUCCCAGUGUAGAGGUGAAAUUCGUAGAUAUUGGGAAGAACACCAGUAGCGAAGGCGACUGUCUGGUGCGGUAUUGACGCUGAGAUGCGAAAGCGUGGGGAGCAAACA